rnacentral:rRNA from 1 species
AGAUUGAACGCUGGCGGCAGGCCUAACACAUGCAAGUCGAGCGGUAGAGAGGUGCUUGCAUCUCUUGAGAGCGGCGGACGGGUGAGUAAUGCCUAGGAAUCUGCCUAGUGGUGGGGGAUAACGUUCGGAAACGGACGCUAAUACCGCAUACGUCCUACGGGAGAAAGCGGGGGACCUUCGGGCCUCGCGCCAUUAGAUGAGCCUAGGUCGGAUUAGCUAGUUGGUGAGGUAAUGGCUCACCAAGGCGACGAUCCGUAACUGGUCUGAGAGGAUGAUCAGUACACACUGGAACUGAGACACGGUCCAAGACCUCCGUACGGGAGGCAGCA